rnacentral:rRNA from 1 species
GUGAGGAAUAUUGCACAAUGGAGGAAACUCUGAUGCAGCAACGCCGCGUGGAGGAUGACGCAUUUCGGUGUGUAAACUCCUUUUAAGAGGGAAGAUAAUGACGGUACCUCUUGAAUAAGCACCGGCUAACUCCGUGCCAGCAGCCGCGGUAAUACGGAGGGUGCAAGCGUUACUCGGAAUCACUGGGCGUAAAGGGUGCGUAGGCUGGCUUUUAAGUCAGGUGUGAAAUCCAAUGGCUCAACCAUUGAACUGCACUUGAAACUGAGAGCCUAGAGUUCAGAAGGGGCAGAUGGAAUUAGUGGUGUAGGGGUAAAAUCCGUAGAUAUCACUAGGAAUAUCAAAAGCGAAGGCGAUCUGCUGGGAUGAUACUGACGCUGAGGCACGAAAGCGUGGGGAGCAACAGGAUUAGAAACCCGGGUAGUCC